rnacentral:misc_RNA from 1 species
AAAAGUCGUAACAAGGUCUCCGUUGGUGAACCAGCGGAGGGAUCAUUACAGAGUUAUCCAACUCCCAAACCCAUGUGAACUUAUCUCUUUGUUGCCUCGGCGCAAGCUACCCGGGACCCAGCGCCCCGGGCGGCCCGCCGGCGGACAAACCAAACUCUUGUUAUCUUAGUUGAUUAUCUGAGCGUCUUAUAUAAUAAGUCAAAACUUUCAACAACGGAUCUCUUGGUUCUG